UCCAGCUUCUGCCAGACAGAUGGAUCUCUCCAGCAUGAAAAUCUGCGCAGCUAUUCCAACAAACAGGACUCUGGCUGAGGUUGUCUGAAGGAUGCCGAGGAAAAAGACCUAAGGACUGGGAGCUCUCUUACCCCAAGAUAGAUUGCUGGAUUUUAUUUCACUGCUUACUUCUUCAAGCUGGUGGAGUGCAUUCUUUAAGAGCUACCUGAGAAAGACUAGGAAAAGCUUUUUUUCUUUAUAAUUGUGACAAAAUCGUUCUAUGGAGAAACAAGCUUUCAGUCACCAAGGUAAAAUAAUCAAGAAACAGGAGACUCGAGCAAAUGUAACAGAGAAGCAUCUCUGACUUCUAUACUUAUCAAAUAAAACAAAUUUUACACAAUAGAAGAAUGCAAGUCUAUAUUUUCUGGAAAGCUUGGAACACUUUUGUGGUAUUUGAGAUGAUACAUAAAGUGGUCUUUGAGUUACAAAGGGUAAAAGAAAAUCCUCUAAUUACAAACUGACAAAGGCAAAAGCUUUGGAGCAGCAGUGUCUCUUUGGUCUGCAUCGGAACUACCAUUCCUAUUGGUGAAGUGCUCAUCAUCAGAUCUUUGCCUAUCAUUGGACAUCUUGUGAAGUUAUUCUUGAAAAAUUUGUGCACCUGUCCUGCUCAUGCACUCCUACAGUGUGAGGGUGGGAGAGAGAAGAAAACCCCUUAAGCAGAGAGAGUUUUCCUAAUCUUCGGCUGUGCACUUCAGCUGGCAAAGAAAUGCUCAAUAAGAAGGACCAGCAUUUUCUCCUCCUCAUCUAGGGCAUGACAACUUCUGCACUAUUUAAGCUUUGCAGAUCAUUCAUGGUUUUGCUGCCCUUGAUGGCUGACAAGGCAUCUCUGAUGUGGGUUUUGAGAGACACUUCUUGGAUUAAAUAUAUUUUCUUCUUUGAAUUUCUUAAAAAUACAGUCCUAGUCUUUGAACAGAUGAACUGAUGGUGACCAUUUUAUCUCUGACAUCUACACUUUUGCUGGGACAAUCUUGAUGGAAGUGCCAGAAAAUCUCAUGUUUUACAUGUUGACCCAUUUUCUGCAUGAUGUCUCCCACAGUCCAAGUGGGUGAAGAGAUUGAAAUAAUCUGUUCUGGACAGAAGUGACGAUGAAGAAAAGGGCUGACCAGAUGAGGGGGAGUAGAAUGGAGAUGUCUUAGGAGCAGAUAAUUAUUAUUUCCAAAGGUUUUAUGCAGCUUCUUAAUAAUCUCUGUCUUAUCAUUGAUGUGGGUAUGAAACAUUUUCUUCAAAAUAAUAUUUUUAAGGGUUUUAAAUAUCCAAAUCCUGAAGCAGUGAGAUUAUCUUUGUUCCAGCAGCAUGUAUAAUUUUCUUUUAGUUUCUUCUUCCUUUUUUGAUAAGUCUUUUGAUGUAUAGACUAUUUUCAGAGGAAUUUGUUCAGCUAGUUUCAUCUCAUCAGCCUCUUUCUGUAUGACUUUAAUAAUUGUAAUGUAUGCUUCAGUGGUUCAAUCCGGGGUCAUGAUUCCACUGUUACCAUGGAUAAUGACAGACGUCCUUGAAUCCCAAAAUUCUUCCUUCUAUGAAUGCCCAUGCAGGAGAGGGCUUUUUGGUUAUUCUAACUAUUCUUAUUAGAAUAGUUAUAAUUUAUCUGGUCUUAAAUAGCCUGGCAUUCUAAUGGUUGCAUAAACCACUCCGGAUCUGCAGAGAAAAACAAUCUGUUUGGCAUAAGAAGAUCCCCCAAGGGGAAGUUCUUGCUCCUUGGAAAAGUGGUCUUCACACUGCAUGUGCUGAUGGGGCCAAAAGAAUUUUACUCUUUUACCCGGGAUGUAGGAAAUAUUUUGACAGUGUAGUUUUCAAACUGAUAAACACUUACUAACUCAAUGGAUAUUUUUGCCUCUUUAUCUGUUGCAUAUGUUAUAACAACAAACGCAAUUUCCGUUUUACAUGCUGUGUCAAAUUUAGAUUUCCAAUCCACAUUGUUUAUUGUUCCAUUCUGUGCCAAAAGUCCAGGCAACAGCUACCAAUGGAGGUAAGGAGAUUCUUUUUUAAACGGAUUUUAAAAGACAGAUUUAUUGAGUUAUAAUUGAUAUGCGAUAAGCUGAAUAUAUUUAAUGUGGUUGAUUUAGUAAGUUUUAACAUGGGUACACAAUUGUGAAACCAUCACCACAAUCAAAGUAAUGAGCAUUACCAUUACUUCUGAAAGUUUUCUUGUGCCAUUUUGAUUCUAAAUUGUUUUGCCUGUUAGCUUUUCAAAGACAGAAAAACCAACUCUCAUAACUUCCCAUGGAAUUCUCCACUAUACAAAGGCAUCUUUUAAAAAAAAAUUUUUUUUUUUUUUCUUUUUUUUGUUGUUGUUGCUAUUUCUUGUGCCGCUCCCGCGGCAUAUGGUGGUUCCCAGGCUAGGGGUCGAAUCAGAGCUGUAGCCCCCGGCCUACGCCAGAGCCACAGCAAGCAGGAUCCGAGCCGCGUCUGCAACCUACACCACAGCUCACGGCAAUGCCGGAUCCUUAACCCACUGAGCAAGGGCAGGGACCGAACCCGCAACCUCAUGGUUCCUAGUCGGAUUCGUUAACCACUGUGCCACGACGGGAACUCCUUAAAAAAUUUUUAUGGAAGUAUAGAAGUAUGUUUAAUUUACCAAAAAUAUCUUGAUGAAACAAAUAGCACAAUGCUAAUGGGGGUAGCUACAUUUGAGCAUGGCUCAGUCUGACAAAUGCAGCUUCCUAUGAUUGUAUUUUGGACUACUUAUCUCCUAUUUUAUUCUUGAUUUCUUUGUUCUUAUUUUUGUUUUUGUUCUCCUUUCUUCUUCCUAUUUCCUUUCUCUUCCUUCUCCUCCACGUUUUCCUCUUCCAUCUGUGCCCACCUCCUAUCCUGACCUUCUGCCAGCCCCAUUUCCCUUCCCCAACUCCCAUCAGCCUCCCAUCAGAGUAGCAGACCAAACCUGUUCUAUAUUUUAUACCGUGAUAGAUGCUCAAAUCUAUUUGAAAAGGGAAAAUUCAAAGUACCAUACGUCCCAUAUGCAACCACUCCUAACAUUAUUUUAAACAAAUGGUAUCAUUCUCUCUGUACAGUUCUGCAAUGAGUUUUACAUGCUUCCCUAUAGCUAGUACUCUUUAUUUAUGUACAUGUCAUUUCUAAAAGGCUCAUUUUUAAAGUUGCCUAAUGUUACAUCAAUUUUCUGUCAAAUAACAUCUUCCGUUAAACAAUUCUGCUACUAACAUUUUAAACAGGUAUCUUUUUAUGCAUGUAUCUACCAUAUCCAAUGGAACCCAUUGUUGCAUUGAUGUAUAUAUUUAAAACUUUUUUGGUUAAAUAUAGGAGAAUUUCAAAAAUGUUGCAAAAUUUAUACUCUAGCAACAGCGUCUGUGAAUAAUAUGCAAUAUUAUACCAUUUUAAAAAUAAAAAUAAUGAAUAACAUGUGGUGGGUAUACCAUAAUAAUUUUAGCUAAAAUAACAAUUUUUUUUCUCUUUUUUGGCCACCCCACAGCAUAUGGAGUUCCCAGGUCAGGGAUCAGAUCUGAGCCACAGUUGUGAUCUACUCUGCAGCUGUGGCAAUGCUGGAUCCUUAACCCACUGUGCCAGGCUGGAGAUCAAACCUGCAUCCCAUUGUGCCACAGUGGGAACUCCAAUACAAAAUAUUUUUAACAAUAGGAAAUGUUUCAAAAAUUUACAAAAGCAAGCUAGCCAGCAACUUGACCUUAAUAAGCAUUACAUUUUGAAAAGGCAGAUGAGACCUGGGCAAAUAUUUCCACUUGCAAGCUUUAAAAUAUACCUAAAAGUGUUGGAAUUCAUUGGUGUAUUUUGGGGAAACAUUUUUUUUUUGUUUGUUUGUUUCUGCUCUUUUAGAAAACAUACAGUAUGGUGUAGACAAGUUUCAUAAAAAUGUUUUAAUGGAAAGAAAGGUUUUGAGCUUAUGGAAAAAAGUUUUGGUUGGUAGCAAGAGCUGGGCCAAAAGUCAACCAUGAAAGUGAGGUACACAGGCCCUGGAAGUUAUCUAGCCAUUAUUUGAUAGAAUGGAAACUGAUUGUGAAUCAUAAGGCUAAGAAAACACUCCUCUUGGUAGGUGGGUUUGAAUUUUUCCAAACCUUAUAGCAAAUAUUUAGAAGUUCACAUUUGGAACAAAAAGAAAUUGAAAGUCACUGUAGCUUUCUAAGAGAGGGAAUGAUGUUAUCCAAACAACAUUUAUGGAAGAUUAUUCCAGCAGCUGUGUUGGACUUCUUUAGUUGCCUUUCAGUUUAUUGCCUGAUUGCAAGUCGCAUUUCAAAAUAUGGCAGAAGAAACAUUUAAGAAAUUGAUUUAAAAUGUCUCAUCUGUAAAAAUGCAUAACAUGCUGGUGAAGUAUAUUGUAUAUAUAUUUUUAUCUUAAAACAAACUAAUAUUAAAUUUUUGGAUAAUUUGAUUAUAAUCCAUGUCCCUCACAAGAGAGAAAUAAUCCAGGUGGUUUCCGAAAGAUCUCUUACUAAAUUACAUGUAAAACAAGUAAGUUUUGUCUUCAAAUGUGCUCCAAACACUGAGAAGCUGCCUGAUAGGGCCCUCUUCUCCAUUUUCAAAUGGAAUUACUUUCCAUAUAUUAGUUUAGAGGGAAAUAACAUGAGUAACUUUGCUUUAUAUGAGUCCUUCAUAUACUUUUGGAAACGACUGUCCCAAGUCUAGGUAGAAAUAUAAUUUAUGGAGGCCUAGUUGAUUAAAUAUAUUUACAUCUUCACAAAUGUUCAGAGCCACUUGUUUUGGAGUGAAUUGUGUACUCCCAAAAUGCAAAGGUUGAUGUCCUAACUCCCAAUACCUCAGAAGGUGAUUAUAUUUGGAGACAGGAUCUUUGAAGAGGACUUAAGUUAAAAUGAGGUCAUUGAGGUGGGCCCUAAUGCAAUAUGAAUGGUAUCCUUAGCAGAAAAAGAAAUUUGGACACAGACACUUACAGGGGGGAGACAAUGUGAAAACACAGGGAGAAGAUGGCCAUCUAUCAACAAUUCAAGGACAUAGGCCUAGAAGAGAUCCUUCCUUUGUGGCUCUCAGAAGGAUCAAUCCUGCUGACACUUUGAUCUCAGACUUACAGCCCCCCAAACUGUGACACAGUAUAUUUCUUUUGUUUAAGAAACCCAAUCUGUUAUUUUGCAGCCCUAGAAAAUGAAUACAGUUAUAUAUUUCCUCCCAUUUCUAAGUUUUCUAAAUAAGAAGGAAUUCAGGCAGAUUUUUAUGCAAUAAAACCUGCUAUAAUGAAUAUUGAAAAAUGAAAUCAACUCAUUUGUUCAACAAUAGAGGAGUGGUUUUGUAAUUUCUGAUCUAGAUAUAUAAAACAAUUACAAUUAUAUUUUAAACAAAUACAUAAUGACAGGAAAAUCAUGAAAAAAUGUUAAAAGAAGAAGUGGUCGAUAACGC
ensembl:lncRNA